CGUGGUGAGUAACGCGUGAGGAACCUGCCUUCCAGAGGGGGACAACAGUUGGAAACGACUGCUAAUACCGCAUGAAACAUUUGAACCGCAUGGUUUGAAUGUCAAAGAUUUAUCGCUGGAAGAUGGCCUCGCGUCUGAUUAGCUAGUAGGCGGGGUAACGGCCCACCUAGGCGACGAUCAGUAGCCGGACUGAGAGGUUGACCGGCCACAUUGGGACUGAGAUACGGCCCAGACUCCUACGGAAGGCAGCAG
rnacentral:rRNA from 1 species